CCUACGGGAGGCAGCAGUGGGGAAUAUUGCGCAAUGGGCGAAAGCCUGAUGCAGCGACGCUGCGUGAGGGAUGAAGGUCUUCGGAUCGUAAACCUCUGUUAGUAGGGAAGAACGGUCACUGUGCUAAUCAGCAGUGAAUUGACGGUACCUGCAAAGGAAGCACCGGCUAACUCCGUGCCAGCAGCCGCGGUAAUACGGAGGGUGCGAGCGUUAAUCGGAUUUACUGGGCGUAAAGCGAUCGUAGGCGGUAUGUCAAGUCUAGGGUGAAAUCCCCGGGCUCAACGUGGGAACUGCAUUUGAAACUGGCAAACUGGAGUGUGUGAGAGGAUAGUGGAAUUCCAGGUGUAGGAGUGAAAGCCGUAGAUAUCUGGAGGAACAGCAGUGGCGAAGGCGACUAUCUGGCACGUAACUGACGCUGAGGAGCGAAAGCGUGGGUAGCAAACAGGAUUAGAUACCCUGGUAGUC
rnacentral:rRNA from 1 species